UCUUGGUAUGGUUGCUCAAUUGCCAGAGAAGGAUGAGACUAGUAUGUCCCGUAAGCAGAUGCUUGCUCGGCUUGAUGUUUGCAUGGGUGGACGAGUUGCUGAAGAGCUCAUUUUUGGAGAAAGUGAAGUAACUUCUGGUCCUUCUAGCGAUCUCCAGCAAGCAACCAAUCUAGCCAGGGCCAUGGUUACAAAGUUUGGUAUGAGCAAAGAAGUGGGGCUUGUUACCCACAACUACGAUGAUAAUGGGAAGAGUAUGAGCACUGAAACGAGGCUUCUCAUUGAGAAGGAAGUAAGAGAAUUACUUGAAAGGGCUUACAACAAUGCGAAAAUGAUUCUCACCACCCAUAUCAAAGAGCUUCAUGCUCUUGCCAAUGCAUUGCUUGAGCAGGAAACGAUGACCGGAAAUCAGAUUAAGGCCCUGCUUACCCAUGUCAAUUCUAAACAAA
rnacentral:misc_RNA from 1 species